rnacentral:rRNA from 1 species
GGGCCCGCACAAGCGGUGGAGCAUGUGGUUUAAUUCGAUGAUACGCGAGGAACCUUACCAGGGCUUAAAUGUAAGUUGCAUAAGUUAGAGAUAGCUUUUUCUUCGGACUACUUACAAGGUGCUGCAUGGUUGUCGUCAGCUCGUGCCGUGAGGUGUCAGGUUAAGUCCUAUAACGAGCGCAACCCCUGUUGUUAGUUGCCAUCGAGUAAUGUCGGGAACUCUAACAAGACUGCCGGUGCAAACCGUGAGGAAGGUGGGGAUGACGUCAAAUCAUCACGGCCCUUACGUCCUGGGCUACACACGUGCUACAAUGGCCGGUACAGAGAGCAGCCACUACGCGAGUAGGAGCGAAUCUAUAAAACCGGUCUCAGUUCGGAUAGGAGUCUGCAACUCGACUCCUUGAAGUUGGAGUCGCUAGUAAUCG